GCAUCAAUGGGGUAGUGGUAACCUGGGUCGUUGCCAAUAUGUAACGUAUAAUCGACCCGCCGGGGGUUCGAUUCCCUCUUGAUGCA